CGCCCUCCGGCAAUGAGAAAAGAGACACUUUGCUGGUGGUAUUUCUCUUAUAUCAGUCAGGGACAGAGCAGAUGGAAGUCCUUUGUUCACCCUAGCUUGACGCCUGGCUUGGUGGUCAAAGCCGUCUUACGUCCAGGAUUCGUAA